CCUUGGUCAAAUCAUAUUCAAAUCAUCAGUAGUGUUUUCUAGAAUCCAGGGGGCUUCAUUUAAAUGUCAUACAAAGUUCAUAAAGAAAAUUUUUGCUUUUAUGUUGUUUUUUUUCUUCUACUCUUGGCAUUCCUUUGAAGUGUAUUUUAGUUUUCAACAAUUCUAUUCUAUGUUGUCGAUGAAAAAAUUAACUUGAUGUGCGUUUGUUGGCCCCCUAAGAUUCCAGCUCAUGUGAACACUAUGAUUCAGAAGCUUUGUACUAUCCUUGGUCUUCUAAAGGCCCUCUUGUUAAUGUCAGACAGCUACAUCUUGCAGCUUGUUAAAACAUGCUUUUCGACGCUAUUGGUUGACAAUAUCCAACUUUGGUUGACAAUAUCCAACUUUUGCAAUUGAAGAUCUUCUAUUUAUACACACAACUUAGAAGUUAUGUGUUUGGUGAAGUUAUUCAACCUCUCUGGAAGCUGCCCUUCUCAAAAACAGUUGCCAGAGCAUUUCAUUUAUCCGAUGAAGAGCAGAAGCAAAUUCUAAUCUUCCUGAAGCUUUGAGGCAAACUUCAAACGAUGUAUUAAGUAAAAAUAGGCCUAAAAGUAAACCACUAGCUGUUUGCGAACUUAUGAGCGUUUUUUUAAGAAUUGCUGCUUCUCAGGUGAGAUCUCAUCCGUUAUUUUUGCUUAAUUUUACUUCGGUUCAUUUGAUUUUUUUA